GGAGGGAUGGCUGAGCGGUCAAAAGCAGCGGACUGUAAAUCCGCCGACAUUGUCUACGUAGGUUCGAAUCCUACUCCCUCCACCA
rnacentral:tRNA from 1 species